rnacentral:rRNA from 1 species
CAGUCGCCGCGGGAAUACGUAGGUGGCAAGCGUUGUCCGGAAUUAUUGGGCGUAAAGGGCUCGCAGGCGGUUUCUUAAGUCUGAUGUGAAAGCCCCCGGCUCAACCGGGGAGGGUCAUUGGAAACUGGGAAACUUGAGUGCAGAAGAGGAGAGUGGAAUUCCACGUGUAGCGGUGAAAUGCGUAGAGAUGUGGAGGAACACCAGUGGCGAAGGCGACCCUCUGGUCUGUAACUGACGCUGAGGAGCGAAAGCGUGGGGAGCGAACAGGAUUAGAGACCCCAGUAGUCCCUGUCUCUUAUAC